rnacentral:lncRNA from 1 species
GAAACCACCAUUAAAUUCUAGAGGCAAAAAUAAAGGGGUUGAUGUUUGACAUUUUCUCAAAAUAAUAAAAAUAAGAGGGUUAAAAAAUAAAUCAAAAGGAAAAUAAAAAUGAAAAAAUAAAUAAACCAAAAUAACACAAAAAUGGAAAAAUGUGGCCAGGGUGCACACAAUGGGUUCGAACCCCUGACCUUGGGGUCAUGGGGGAUCUAUCCCCCCACCCAUUAGGCCAAUGGCCUAGUUGGGAUAAUAAAACACGCUCAUAAGAAUAAAUAAGAGAAACAAUAAAUAAAUGGACUUUGCUUGCAUGAGAACUAAUUACAGUGUGACAACACCAUUAUUCAAAUUCAAAAAAUGCGAGAAAC